GCGGUCGUGGUGAAGUGGUUAACACAUCAGCUUGUGGCGCUGACACUCGCGGGUUCGAUUCCCGUCGACCGCC
rfam:Lactococcus piscium MKFS47 genome assembly, chromosome: I